GACGAACGCUGGCGGCGUGCUUAACACAUGCAAGUCGAACGGAAAGGCCCUGCUCUUGUGGGGUGCUCGAGUGGCGAACGGGUGAGUAACACGUGAGUAACCUGCCCUUGUCUUUGGGAUAACUUCAGGAAACUGGGGCUAAUACCGGGUAGGAGCUCCUGCUGCGUGGUGGGGGUUGGAAAGUUUCGGCGGUGGGGGAUGGUCUGGCGGCUUAUCAGCUUGAUGGUGGGGUAGUGGUUUACCAAGGUUUUGAAGGAUAGCCGGCCUGGGAGGGGUAACGGGCACAAGGCGCCUGAGAGAGGGACCAGACGCGUAUGGGAGGCAGCAGUGGGGAACAUUGCACAACGGGGGGAAGCGUGAUGUAACAACCCCGCGUGCGUGAUGCCGGCUUUCGGGGUGUAAACAGCUUUGGCCGGUGACGAAGCGUGAUUGACGGUAACGGGUAAAGAAGCACCGGCUAACUACGUG
rnacentral:rRNA from 1 species